GAUCUUUCAAAUGUCUGCCCUAUCAAUUUUCGAUGGUAGGUGACCUGCCUACCAUGGUGAUAACGGGUAACGGGGAAUCAGGGUUCGAUUCCGGAGAGGGAGCCUGAGAAACGGCUACCACUUCCAAGGAAGGCAGCAGGCGCGCAAAUUACCCAAUCCCGGCACGGGGAGGUAGUGACGAAAAAUACGGAUACGGGACUCAUUAGAGGCUCCGUAAUUCGAAUGAGUACAAUUUAAAUCCUUUAACGAGGAUCAACUGGAGGGCAAGUCUGGUGCCAGCAGCCGCGGUAACUCCAGCUCCAGAAGCGUAUAUUAAAGUUGUUGCAGUUAAAAAGCUCGUAGUUGGAUCUGGGUCGCAUGGCUACAUGCCGUUGCUCGUAUUCCUGGCCUGGUUCACACCGGGACGGGUUUGUGAGUCGGUGUCGUGGUUGUGCAGCCUUUCUGCCGUGUCUGUUUCGACAGGUGUUAGCAUGAUUGGUGGGUUCGUCCUGCUGAUCUGUUGACAUGCUUCCAGGUGCCCUUAACCGGGUGUCGGGGGCGGACGGCACGUUUACUUUGAACAAAUUUGAGUGCUCAAAGCAGGCCCGUGUGCCUGAAAAUUCUUGCAUGGAAUAAUGGAAUAGGACUUCGGUUCUAUUUUGUUGGUUUUCGGAUCCGAAGUAAUGGUUAAAAGGGACAGACGGGGGCAUUUGUAUGGCGGUGUUAGAGGUGAAAUUCUUGGAUCACCGCCAGACAAACUACAGCGAAAGCAUUUGCCAAGGAUGUUUUCAUUGAUCUGGAGCGAAAGUCAGAGGUUCGAAGACGAUCAGAUACCGUCCUAGUUCUGACCAUAAACGAUGCCAACUGACGAUCCGUGGUGGCGCGAUUAU
rnacentral:rRNA from 1 species